GUCUACGGCCAUACCAUCCGAACGCGCCCGAUCUCGUCUGAUCUCGGAAGAAGGACAGAGAUUUGUGUGUGUGUGUGUUAUUUUUUAGUUUCAAAAAAAUGAUAGUAUAUU
rnacentral:rRNA from 1 species